rnacentral:lncRNA from 1 species
CCGAGAGGGGAGGGGGGGAUGGAGGCUGCCUGGAGGCUGCCUGAAGGCGUUGUGGUGGCAGCAGCUCCCAUGGUCACGGUCACCUUGUCCAGGGAAGCCUCUCCCAGACGCCUGGCCCCGGCCGGGUAGCGUCUGGCUUUAGAGGAAUCACCGAAAGCUUCACCCUCGGACUGUGACGCUCUCGGGCAGCGGGAGCUGCGCGAAUUGCACUGUCACAGCCUGAGUGACGGACUCAGCCUCUGGUUGUUCGCCAAGCGUUUAUUAAGUUCCAACUGUAUGCAAGUGCUGUGCCUGGGGUGGGGGUGGGAACAGGACAGGCUGGGACGGACGCCGUGCUCCACGGGCUCUGAAAGCAGACAGGAUGCGGAGCUGGAGGCAACGUGAUUCAAGGAGAGCAGCUGUAGCCCCUGCCAUGUGUCCACGUCUCACCCCCACGGUCUGCUCGCUGCAGCCUCCUAGACUCCAGGGCGGGAACAGGUGACAGGAGAAGCCACCUGAUGUUUGAUGCCGGUCCCUGAGCCAGCCUGGGUGCCUCUUCCCUGCUGGCCAAGGGCCGCAGCCCCAGGAAACCUCCCCCCGGGUUCUCUGGAAAUUCAUCCGCAUCGGUCACGUGUCAGUAGUUGGAGCCUUUUGUCCGCUGAGAUCUCACGGUCGGGAAGAACCACCCACUUUUGGUGAUUAUAUGUCAAGCCGCCGUCAACAUGCGUGGGCAGGUUUUGGUGUGAACGUGUGUUUUCAUUUCUCCUAAAUGAAUCUCCAGGGGUAGGUGCCAUUCCUGGAUCACCCUGUGGUCGUGCGUGUGUGUAGUUUUUAGAGCAGCCGCCCCAUCUUCCCUCCCGCCGGUGAGGCCGGGGCCCAGGUCUCCACCUUCCCUUGGCUGUUGCUGCUGUGUUUCCUUUUAGCCAGCUGGAUAGGAUGGCGUCCCUACCUCUCAGCGCCUCCGUAUCCUCGACUGUGCAAUGCAGCCAUGACCCACUCAUGGGGCUUUUCAAGGAAGCUGCCAAGGCAGGGCACCUGCCGGAGGUGACGCUUUGCAAAGACGCGUGUAGAUAAGAGCUUAUCGUUAGUGUCACAAGGGAUAAACAAGCCGGAGCCUUGGAAACUCAGGCUUUCCAUCUUUCCUUCCUCCUCUCCUCCUUAUGGGCCAGGGGCCCCAUCUCGCCCCUGCGCGGAUGGUGGAGAGUUGCAUUAUUUUGGGCUGAAGCGCCUGGCGCCAUUCCCCGCCCCCCGGCCCCACCCUGAGGUGCUCCCUGUUCUCUGGGGAAGGGGAGGCAGGUGCCAGAGCCUUCUUUGCUGGGGAGGAAACGGGCGGGAGGGAGAGGGGUGAGGCUGGCCACCUGCUUCUCCACCCCCUGCUGCUCUCCUGCCCUGGCAAACUGCCGGGGGGUUAGCACCAGAACCCAGGACAGGAGACCCUCCUCUGCCCAC